rnacentral:rRNA from 1 species
CUAACAAGGGAUUCCCCUAGUAACUGCGAGUGAAGCGGGAAGAGCUCAAAUUUUGAAUCUGGCGGUCUUUGGCCGUCCGAGUUGUAAUCUAGAGAAGCGUUUUCCGCGCUGGACCGUGUACAAGUCUCCUGGAAGGGAGCGUCAUAGAGGGUGAUAAUCCCGUCUCUGACACGGACUACCAGGGCUAUGUGAUGCGCUCUCGACGAGUCGAGUUGUUUGGGAAUGCAGCUCAAAUUGGGUGGUAAAUUCCAUCUAAAGCUAAAUACAGGCGAGAGACCGAUAGCGAACAAGUACCGUGAGGGAAAGAUGAAAAGAACUUUGGAAAGAGAGUUAAACAGUACGUGAAAUUGCUGAAAGGGAAACGCUUGAAGUCAGUCGCGUUGGCCGGGGAUCAGCCUUGCAAUCUUGUUGGGUGCAUUUCCUGGUCGAUGGGUCAGCAUCAAUUUUGACCGUUGGAGAAGGGUUGAGGGAAUGUGGCAUCCUUCGGGGUGUGUUAUAGCCUUUGAUCGCAUGCAACGGUUGGGAUUGAGGAACUCAGCAUGACCCCUCGUGGGUUUCGGGGCUUUGGCCUACGUGCGUGCUUAGGAUGUUGGCAUAAUGGCUUUAAUCGACCCGUCUUGAAACACGGACCAAGGAGUCUAACAUGCACGCGAGUGUUUGGGUGUUUAAAACCCGAGCGCGCAAUGAAAGUGAAAGUUGAGACCUCUGUCGUGGAGGGCAUCGACGCCCGGACCUGAACUUUUGUGACGGUUCUGCGGUAGAGCGUGUACGUUGGGACCCGAAAGAUGGUGAACUAUGCCUGAAUAGGGUGAAGCCAGAGGAAACUCUGGUGGAGGCUCGUAGCGAUUCUGACGUGCAAAUCGAUCGUCGAAUUUGGGUAUAGGGCGAAAGACUAAUC